AAUCUUCCACAAUGGGCGAAAGCCUGAUGGAGCAACGCCGCGCGAGUGAAGAAGGAUUUCGGUACGGAAAACUCUGUUGUAAGGGAAGAACAAGUACAGUAGUAACUGGCUGUACCUUGACGGUACCUUAUUAGAAAGCACCGGCUAACUACGUGCCAUCAGCCGCGGUAACACGUAGGUGGCAAGCGUUGUCCGGAAUUAUUGGUCGUAAAGCGCGCGCAGGCGGUCAUUUAAGUCUGAUGUGAAAGCCCACGGCUCAACCGUGGAGGGGAAUUGGAAACUGGGGGACUUGAGUGCAGAAGAAGAAAGUGGAAUUCCAAGUGUAGCAGUGAAAGGCGUAGAGAUUUGGAGGAACACCAGUGGCGAAGGAGACUGUCUGGUCUGUAACUGACGCUGAGGCGCGAAAGCGUGGGGAGCAAACAGG
rnacentral:rRNA from 1 species